UACGGAGGAUGCGAGCGUUAUCCGGAUUCAUUGGGUUUAAAGGGUGCGUAGGCGGUGUAGCAAGUUAGAAGUGAAAUACCUAGAGCUUAACUCAGGUGCUGCUUCUAAAACUGCUAUACUUGAGUGCAGUAGAGGAAAGUGGAAUUCCUAGUGUAGCGGUGGAAUGCGUAGAUAUUAGGAGGAACAUCAGUGGCGAAGGCGACUUUCUGGACUGUAACUGACGCUGAGGCACGAAAGUGUGGGGAGCAAACAGG
rnacentral:rRNA from 1 species